AAAAAAAAAAACAACAACAACAAGCUUUGGUUAGGGUUUUAAUUUUUUCUCUUCUUACCCAUUACACCAGCCGUCACUCUCUUUCUCCCUCACCCUUACCCUCACCCUCACGUUCGCCUCUCUCUCUCUCUCUCUCUCUCUCUCUCUCUCUCCCUGCCUCCCUCACCUGACCUUUCCGCCGCCGCCGCCACUUCCCACCCUAGCCAUCGCCGUGCUCUCCCCUUAUUCUCGACUCUCUCUCUCUCCCUCAUCCUCGCCUCUCACUCUCUCCCUCACCCUUGCCACUUUGCCGCCAGCCACCACUGCCGCCGCCCUACUCCUCUUCCCCUUUCCUCCUCUCAUGUCCACCUCCGCCGCUAGUCUCCUCCACCGCCAAUUUUCUAGUACCUCCUCUACCCUUUGUAAUUUUUAUUUUGUAUUUUUUGUUUUUGGGUUUUUAGUUCAAUAUAUAGAGUGUGGGUUUUCUGGAACCUCCUCUACCCAUCGGUGAGUUUUUUCUUUUUUUUUUUAAUUGUAGAAAUUUCAUAUAAAUACAUUACAAGAAAAUCAUUGAUUUGAAUUUCAUAUUUUUGUGAUUGAAUAUACUAUUGGGGUUUAGGUUGCAAUGUGAUUUUGAUUUGCAAGUUUUUUUCCCUAUUGGGUCUUGUGGUUAGUGCUUUGAUAUGGAUGUUUGGCUGUGGGAUUGGGGUUCAAAAAAAAUUGGGGUUUUUGUUUUUGGUUGAUUGUGAAUUCCAUAAGUAUUUUUUGAUUUGGGAUUUUCAGAGUUGGGUAUGUAUAUUUCUUGUGCUCAUUUGGCUAUAGGUUUGGGUUUGUGCUUGUGUUUGAAACGUGGGUUUUAUGUUGACCCAGAGGCGAAGCUCCUGUUUAUCAUUCGCAUUCGUGGUAUCAAUGCCAUGCACCAAAAGACUAGAAAGAUCUUGCAGCUCUUGCGUUUGAGAUAGGUAUUACAUGAAACUCACCCGUUAUGGUACUAUAAAAUGGCAUCUGGUUAUUGAUGUUUUUAUUUAUGUUUUUGUGUUGGUCAUGACGGUAAAUAUAUCCUUUUGAAGGCUAAGGCAGGUUCAGACUAUUUGCUUAUUGUACCGGGUAGUUUUAGUAAAAGUACUCGUUUUUAAAGCUAUUUAAGUUUAAGCUCCUUGGGUCAUAGUCUAGAAAUCUUUGAGGCGAAGCUCAAACAUCUAGUGUCAAGGUGUUUGGGUGUAAGCACCUUUUUUAUUUUGACCUUUUAGAACUUUAUAUAAGCAUUAAGUACACACUAUUUCUAGUAGGUUUACUGCUGAAUAGUUUGAAACUUGAAGCCCUUUGUUGUGAGUGUUAUGAAAAGCUAAUCUGAAACUAUGCCUGAUUCUUUUAUUCUGAAUGCUGGGACAUGCCUAAUUCUUUUAUUCUUUUAAUCUGAAACUAUGAUAAGCUAACUGACACUGAAUGCUGAAACUUGGCCCACGUAUUUAGUCAUCAAAGGUAAGUUUCAAUUGCAUUGAAUUCAGCCCAAUAUUUUAAAGAAAAUUAAACAGAGGCAUCAUCCGUGGCCGCCACCUUGCCUCCAUUAAUGACGAGUCACCUCUUGCUUUCUCCGCUGGAAACAUCACUCUCCUCAGUAAUUCUUUGGGAUUGUAUGAUCCUUAUUCCACUCCUCAAAUAAUCAUUCAAAUAUAUGUUUUUAGUUUAUAUAUAUAUAUAUAUAUUUUUUUUUUUUUGUGUGUGUUUUUUAGUGAGCUUUUGAUAUGAUAUUUUUUGGUUUUUAAAAUUUUUUUUUUUUUUUAUAUGUGAUAUUUUUGGUUCCUGAUAAGAGAAAGAGUUGUUUUUUAGUGGCCAGUUGUAUUAUUGUAAGUAAAAGUUAUAACUUUUUGUGGUCUCCCAGCCUAUCCAAAAAGACCCCAAAUGAUUUUUUUUUUUUUUUUUUUUUUUUUAAUUUUCCUGGGUGACCAAACUGUUUGUUUCAAUUCGGAGUGUACUGACUUUAUUAUUUUAUUUGGUUAAUUUAUUUAUUUAUUUUCUAUGUUUGUUGAUGUUUUAGUUUGCAUUAUGCUAAUGUUUCUUUGGGGAAUCCGAGUUUAUCAUUCUUGGUGGUGUUAGACACAGGCAGUGAUUUGUUCGGGAUACCAUGUGAUUGUCAGAAAAAUGGUUGCGUAAAGGCCUUAUAGUCAUCAUCUGGAGCGGGGUAUGUUGAGUUAAACACAAAUUCUUCAUAGCAGGGAUGGGUUCUGGACAUUGGUUUAAGAUGAUAAUUGGCUCAAAGAAAGGGAAGCGCAGCAGUUCAAAACAAGUAAAGGUCUACUUGCUUCUUUUGUAACUUGGAUCGGCCAAAUGCCACAGUUCGUUCUAGAGUCAGAAAUCCCAAAGGAAAAACUAGGAGUUUUUUACCCGACUUCGCGCAAUAAACUGUACCGAUUUGGCGAGAACUGGAAUGAGCGGGCUAGACCACCUUGAAGAACAAUAUCUUAGCUAAUUUUAAUUUGAAGGGCUCGACGAUAUCUACUUCGGAUCGGAAGAUAUGAGUUUUUCAAGGAAAAACAUCACAGAAUUUUUUAGUGCAGCAUCACCUUCCUUCCGAGCACAAUAUCUCAAUGAUUGUAGCUCCAAAUCAAAUAAGGCUAAAACUGUUAGAAACUAGACAUCCACAGCUUUCCAUGCAUAUAAAAUUUGAAGAAAAUAGAGCUCGAAAAUGCCUCCAAACAAUAACGUGAAGAUUGGGUCAGAAAUUAGAUAAAGUCGAAAAAGGGUUGAUGAGGUGGUAAAAAUGGGAGGCUAGCACUAGUGUAUCUUGAUACACUAAUGCUAGCUCCCAUUUCUUUUAUCUUGCUUAUUGUUCAAAGUUGCUUUAUUUUUACUAUGCUCUUGUACAUGUUGUGUCUAUCUCUUUAUUUCAAUGUUCAUAUUAUUAUUGUUGUUGGUUUAUAUUGUUGUGUUGUUUUCCUAGAUGGGUAUUGAACCAUCUCCUAGGCUAUGUAUGGGAAGUACCCUUAGAGGGAAGAAAUCCCAUCCCACCUAGGUGCAUCUAGGGAUUUUACUAUUAAUGCUUUUAUUUUGUCAUCUCAUUUACUUUCAAGCAAUCUCCACCCCCUUUUAUUUU